rnacentral:rRNA from 1 species
GACGAACGCUGGCGGCGUGCUUAACACAUGCCAGUCGAACGGAAAGGCCCUGCUUUUGUGGGGUGCUCGAGUGGCGAACGGGUGAGUAACACGUGAGUAACCUGCCCUUGACUUUGGGAUAACUUCAGGAAACUGGGGCUAAUACCGGAUAGGAGCUCCUGCUGCAUGGUGGGGGUUGGAAAGUUUCGGCGGUUGGGGAUGGACUCGCGGCUUAUCAGCUUGUUGGUGGGGUAGUGGCUUACCAAGGCUUUGACGGGUAGCCGGCCUGAGAGGGUGACCGGCCACAUUGGGACUGAGAUACGGCCCAGACUCCUACGGGAGGCAGCAGUGGGGAAUAUUGCACAAUGGGCGGAAGCCUGAUGCAGCAACGCCGCGUGCGGGAUGACGGCCUUCGGGUUGUAAACCGCUUUCGCCUGUGACGAAGCGUGAGGGACGGUAAUGGGUAAAGAAGCACCGGCUAACUACGU